UCCAAUUUAGAUAGAUUUAUAACAUAAUCAGAAAUUUGGUUAGUUCUUGGCUGCCGCUUUGCCACCUAAACCCUGUACAAUCAUCAUUGGUUUGUUAAUGAAACCAAAUAUUUUUAAUACAAACAAUAGUUAAAAUUAAUUUAAAGGGGAUUCAAACUUGGGUGCAAAUGAAGCGGGCUUAUUGCCUUGGCCAACUAGCUUAACCCACAUCUGCUAAUGAAACCAAAUUAAUUAACAUAAAGCAUGAAGACAAACCAAAUCAUACAUUUAACUGAUAGGCCAAGAAGAUGACCCGAAUGUGGAUAUAUAUGUACCUUCUUCUUGGGUGCCUGAGGCUUUGGUGCAGCCUUCUUUGGGGCUGCCUUAGAUGCUGGGGCUUUGGCUCCACCAUCACUGACCUUGGGUUCUUUCUUGGCCUGGCCAAACUGUUGAGUGCCAACUUGCUUUAUUUCAGCCUUCAUUGAUGCCAUGUAUAGUUCUCUAAGAAACUCUUUCACAAUGAUAUAUGAAAAAUCUAACGUAGGUAUUAACUCGAUGGCCUCAACUCAACUGCUCGCUCCUUCUGAGCCUACCCUUCUA
rnacentral:lncRNA from 1 species